rnacentral:rRNA from 1 species
AGAGUUUGAUCCUGGCUCAGAAUCAACGCUGGCGGCGGCCUAACACAUGCAAGUCGAACGAGAAAGCAGGAGCAAUCUUGUGAGUAAAGUGGCGUACGGGUGAGUAACACGUGGAUUAUCUACCCUCUUGUGGGGGAUAACCCUGGGAAACCGGGGCUAAUACCGCAUAAGCUCGAGAGAGGAAAGCAGCAAUGCGCAGGAGGAGGAGUCCGCGGCCGAUUAGCUAGUUGGUAGGGUAAAAGCCUACCAAGGCUACGAUCGGUAGCCGGCCUGAGAGGGCACACGGCCACACUGGCACUGAAACACGGGCCAGACUCCUACGGGAGGCAGCAGUGGGGAAUCUUGCACAAUGGGGGCAACCCUGAUGCAGCGACGCCGCGUGAGCGAUGAAGCCCUUCGGGGUGUAAAGCUCUUUCGGCAGGGAAGAUUAUGACGGUACCUGCAGAAGCAGCUGCGGCUAACUACGUGCCAGCAGCCGCGGUAAUACGUAGGCAGCAAGCGUUGUUCGGAGUUACUGGGCGUAAAGGGUGUGUAGGCGGUUCUCUAAGUCUGGUGUGAAAUCUCCCGGCUCAACUGGGAGGGUGCGCCGAAAACUGGAGGACUAGAGUGCGGGAUGGGAGAGUGGAAUUCCUGGUGUAGCGGUGAAAUGCGUAGAUAUCAGGAGGAACACCUGUGGUGUAGACGGCUCUCUGGACCGCAACUGACGCUGAGACACGAAAGCGUGGGUAGCAAACAGGAUUAGAUACCCUAGUAGUCC